rnacentral:rRNA from 1 species
GACGAACGCUGGCGGCGCGCCUAACACAUGCAAGUCGAACGGAGCUGAGAGAAGCUUGCUUUUCUUAGCUUAGUGGCGAACGGGUGAGUAACGCGUGAGUAACCUGCCCUGGAGUGGGGGACAACAGUUGGAAACGACUGCUAAUACCGCAUAAGCCCACGAUCCGGCAUCGGAUUGAGGGAAAAGGAUUUAUUCGCUUCAGGAUGGACUCGCGUCCACUUAGCUAGUUGGUGAGGUAACGGCCCACCAAGGCGACGAUUGGUAGCCGGACUGAGAGGUUGAACGGCCACAUUGGGACUGAGACACGGCCCAGACUCCUACGGGAGGCAGCAGUGGGGGAUAUUGCACAAUGGGGGAAACCCUGAUGCAGCGACGCCGCGUGGAGGAAGAAGGUGUUCGGAUUGUAAACUCCUGUCGUGAGGGACGAUAAUGACGGUACCUAACAAGAAAGCACCGGCUAACUACGUG